UACGUAGGGUGCGAGCGUUAAUCGGAAUUACUGGGCGUAAAGCGUGCGUAGGCGGCUUCGCAAGUCAGACGUGAAAUCCCCGGGCUUAACCUGGGAAUGGCGUUUGAAACUACGGAGCUGGAGUGUGGCAGAGGGAGGUAGAAUUCCACGUGUAGCGGUGAAAUGCGUAGAUAUGUGGAGGAACACCAGUGGCGAAGGCGACUUCCUGGCCUGUUCUUGACGCUGAGGCGCGAAAGCUAGGGUAGCAAACGGG
rnacentral:rRNA from 1 species